ensembl:lncRNA
AGAGGAAGAGAGAAAUGUUGAGCUUACGAUACUUCACCCACACUGCUUUUUAUGCAGCUGAAAGUAGAAGCUGAUGUAACUUCUGCUUCCUGUCCUUGUACUGUAUAUCCCAUCUCAAUUGCAGUUCUGGCUCUAUUGUUUUUUUUUAAUUUGGGGGUGUGGGUAAGGGUUGGUUUUGUUUGUUCAUUUGGUUUUUAAACCAAUGCCUCACAUUCUGUGAACUGAAGUGAUAGAAAAUUUUUAGAUUUUUUAUGGGUUAGAAUGUUUUGGGGUUUUUUUUCCUGAUGUUUUUUCUUAUCCAACAAGCAUAUUACAGAGUUCCAAAGACUGCAGAGUUCUCAAAAGAUAUGCAGCAGAACUGGCAGUUCCACUUUGGCAUCCAUCAGACUCAUUUAUCUUUAGCCACACUUUGAAUUUUCAUUUUUCUUUUUUUUCUACCACAUACAGAAAAUUUAACCUUCCCAGAGGAGGAUCCAAAUUUAUGCUACAGUGCUCAGCUCCUCUUUUAAGGAGAGAGGAAAUAAUAGAAAAUAACUGUAAGAAACAAUAAGAAAUGCCCAGUGCUUUAUUCUAUUGGGAUCUAGUCCACCUAUGGAAAUAAUCAUUGAACGUCAUGCGGUCAUAAACACAGGGUGUGCCACAUACAGCGUAGAUUCUAAGGUCUUCUGUGUGAACAGGCUCUUACUGUUCUCUGUUUCUCAGAAUUGAACUGUACAAUGAUCUGGGACACAAAGGGGAAAAGAAAAGAGGAAACCUAAUUGUAGCUGAUGGCAGGUGACUCUAGUGCGAGUGCUGGCUAACAGACCUGACCAGUGUGCCCCUUGAGAGGUAUGCAAGUUUCACUGGAACAUACUAUGAGUCUACCAUGUUAUGAAACGUACAUUUAAGGAUGGUGAGAGCAGUAACAAGAGAAAACAUAGCAAGUUUAUUGGAAGAAUCUGUUCAAGAGGGCUAAUUCUCCCAAACUGAACAUACAUGGAUACUGAAGAGAAACUUCUAGCUCUGUCUGGAGACACAGUAAGAAAUGCUGUGGCCUUGUGCAACAUUGCAAAGAUUCAGACUGGACAGGUUUGCCUGGAAAAGUAAUGAAGGAUUCAGAUCAUCACCUUGUGUGUUGUUCUCUCCACACAACUUGGAUCAUGGAGCUGGAGCUGAGGGAGCAGGUGAGAUCUUGAAUCCAUUGCAAGCAGAGGAAAUGUUGUGAGGAACUUCACUUGGGCCACACAGUAGGUAGCUGCAUUUCAGCCUCUGAAGCAAAGGUCAGGUAUACUUCGGUCUGAUGGAAACAUACCUUCUGAGAAGAUUUUUGUGAGCAAUGUAAAAGCUUUCUUAUCCUGUGAUCCAGCUUCCAGGUGGAGUUGCGAUUACAGAUAGCUUUGAUGUUCUGUAGCUCUCUAGUUAUGCACAGCAGAUAGAGAAAGAGAUCAGUUUCUCAAUAAUCUCCAUAUCCUGUCAAAGGCCACGCUACUAAUCUGUAACAUCAAAAAUAUUCCCAGAUUUAUAAAAUCUGCAGCAUAUAUUCCAAUGCAAUAUUUCAUGUAAAAUGAUCAUGACAACAAAUGGGAGAAAGAAUUUUGAGUACCUCCUCUCAAAACUUGUUCUUUCCUUUUCCAUAAAUUUUGAGUACAUGUACUAAUUGAGCAUCCAUUAUCUUAUUUUAACACAUUUUUACAGUACUGCAUAUGCACCUUGAUUACUUUUCUGUGCAGUGGAGUCAUUGUGAAUCAUAGAAUCACAGCAUUGGUAAGUUUGGAAAAGACCUUCAAGAUCAAUAUAGCAGUGAAACUGUGGUUAUGAUUUUCGUGCCUUCAUUGGUCUAAUAUUAACUGUCAAUCAGAUCAUCAUACAUGGAAAAGACUGUUUGAUUUCUGAAGUAUUCUUAAAUUUUUCUUUCAAGUUGUAUUUUUUCCAGCUAGGUUCUAACCUGUCUUUCCAUAUUCUAUUACUAAAAACUAGAGGGACUUUCCUAUAGUACACAUAUGCCUAGUGUAUGCUCCAUGUAGUGUUUGUUUUGCUGUUUCUCAAGUUGAUUAUUUAGUUCACUAAAUGUAAUCAAAUAUAUCCCUUAAUAAUUUAAAAACAAAAAAAAAUUGACAAGUUUAAAAUAUACUACAAAAGAAAAGGAAGUGCCUGACUUGGUUCCCCUAGAUUCUCUUUGAUAAGAGGAAAAAAGUUGUGUCACAUCACAGUUGCACUGUAUAAUCAUUCAUAAAAACAGAAGAUAAGAUGGAAUUCCUAAUGGGUACUCUACUUUGGUCUAAUCAAAGUGUUCCUUCAAGUUAUGACCACUGCUUUGCAAAGAACUUGUUUAGAAAUCUCUCCAGAGUAAAGUGAACCAUGUGGGUUUUGGGUUGUUUGUUCCUUAGGGUUUUUUUUUUUGUGUGUGUGUGUGUGCAGCUUUUGCUGUUGUUCUUCUUUUGCUGUUGUUGUUGUUUGUUUGUUUUUUCCUUAAUACCACUGUUCCUGAUGUUCAGACAGUAGUUAAAUUGCCAUAUCUGAUGAGUGCCUAUAAAUGGCUAUUCAUCUUUCUACUCUAUUUCACACUAUAGUAAAAUGACAAUAAAGAAAAAGGGGAAGAAAAAAAAGUUUAAAAAUAGAAGUUGACUUUUGUAAAAAAAACUGCUGAAAGUCAUGCAUUUCAGGAGUUGUUGCAAGGAAUAAGCUAUCUGAUAGGAGUGAUGAUGCAAUGACUUAAAAGGGAGAACAGAUCAUGAAAAGGAGGAAAGAAGAAAGGCAAAAGAAUGACAUUAUGAAUUGAAAGUUUCUGCUUGUGUGGCUUCGCAUCUUCUUGUGGGGUUAGCAAAAGGAAACCACUGGUCUAAGCAGAGAUAUUGAAAUAAAUGCAUAAUUGAAGAACAAGAUGAACAGUUUUUAGGUAGUCUUUACUGUUUCAAAAUAUCUGUAGAUGUUUUAACACACUGCCAUUUGUUACUACAGAGCAACAUUAUGGUUGUUUAUAUCUUCUGGUUGCCAUAAGUACAAACCACUUUCCUCCUGUUUCCUAGCUGUGUUAAUAUUCAUUAGCAAUGCCCAAAUUCGCCAUUUCACUUCUUGUUCUAGAUCGCCCCAAAAGGAAACCACAGCCUACAACCAUUUCAGGCCUUAGAAUGAAAGUGAAUUUUCUCAUAUAUUUACUAACCUGUUUAAAUGAAAGUUACUUUUAUCAGCCAUCUUCCCCAGAAACAAAUCAAAGCAUAUUAACACUCCUAAUGCAGAAUAAUGAAAGAUCACAACACUUUCUAGCACUGACCAGACCUUAAGUUAAAUAGAAGCAUUGAUUCCAAAAUGUGAUAUUGGCCCAUUGAUGCAAUCAUUCAGCGAGGUAAUUCUCUCCUAAAUUUGAUGACUGUUCAUAGUAGUAACUGAUUUGAUGGUGGUAAUAAUAACAAUAAAAUUAAUAAAAAUAAUAAACUAAUAAUAAAAUUAACAGUGUCAAAUGAAGGUCAUCAGAAAAAGAUAUAAAUAAAAGCUUAUUUCCUACUUAAAUAACCCUCCUAAAUUUCUUAGUAUGUUUUUGAACUUGAAGAAAUGUUCCAGAAUCACAGCACUCUAGUAAAAUAUCUUUCAUCUGUAAAGAAAUCAGUGUAAUUCUUCAUUACCAUGCAGCCAAAUCAGCAAAUAGCAUCAUUCUACACUGAAAUGUAUGAUUGUGCAAUUUCACAGACAAAGAAUUUUAGAUUAUUUGUUCAAGAUCACACAGAAUCUGAGCCAGCAUCCAGAAUUCCUAAGCUCUGCCACAGUACAUUUGUUUUCCCUUCUCUGACACUUCAAAUAUUCAAAGCAGAAAGGAAGUGGAAAAUAUGCUAUGAAAUAAUCCUACUGCAUCAGCUGUAGUGGUAGAAUAACUACUAGUCAGCGCCUAAUGAUUUGCCAUUUUUCAAAAAAGUGGGAGGGCAACUAAAUUGACUGUUUGAUUUACAUCACCAUGAUAAAUAAGUCGGCCUCAAAAUUUUAUAAUUAUUUAACAAUCUGUUUCCAGCUUUAUUAUUCUACUCUGAAUCAAGGACUCUUACAAGUAUUCAUUGUUUGCAAAUUCUAAAUGUUUAGUGAGAUUUUUUCUGUGGACGAUUUAAUUCCAUAAGCAAUUUUAGCACUGUUAACAGCCUGAAGACUCACAAACUGCCUGACCAUAUGUUCUCUUGCUCUUCAACUUUUAGUACAAAAUUCCAAGUAUGCAUUUUAAAAAUAUUUUUAGACCCCUAAACAAAUGUUGUUGCUAUGCUAUGAAUACUCCAUGAAAACAUUUCAACUUUCUUUAAACUGUCUAACGUUUCGAUAGUAAUAAAGAAAUGACAGUAAAAUAGAAGGAGAAGGGAAGAAAAAGGAAAAGAAACAAAGAAACCCAUUUUCUUUCACUUAUGCACUACUCUUUAGCCCCCCCUCCCCCCCGAUGCACACCCCAUUACAGUGGAUGCUCAAUCAAGGUUCCAAAGAAAAACAGUAAAUGAGAUCUAAAGGCAGUAAGAAGUUUGACAAUGAUUCAGUAUUACUUAUUCUAUUUUUGUAUUGAUCCAUUAUCUGUUGCUUUGGUCUAUGCUGCUGACAUAAGUAUCCCAGAAACCCCAAGUUGAAUUCACUUAAAGCUAUUAAAGAUAAUGCAGGUUAUUGUAUGUUCCACUGGAGAAUUUAUAUAGAACACAUUCAAGCUUACAUCAUUCUCUAUUCUCUGGAGACUUUAACCAUUCUCUCUGAAUUUUUUAUUCAAAAAACAUUUAUUAUUUACCUAUGCCAAUGGGAAGAGCUUCCCACUCAGAAAAGCUCAUCGCUUCAGUGUGUGAUUGAGACUGAGUUUUCUUUCCUAUUAACUUAAAAUCAUAAAAGAAAUACUGUUAAACUUGACGUUCAAACUUAAGAAUGGCCUCACCUUAUAUUAUUUGAAAGUUAUCUAGACAUUCCAUUUUUUUUUCUUUCUUGGUUUCUUUUGCUGUCAUAGAUAAAGACAGAUACUUAAAGGAUAUUUUACUCUGUGGAAGACUCACUUCAAAUCAACAAGCCUAAGAAUAAGACAAAUACUGUAAAAUCACACCAAAUAAUCAGAAAAGCAAUUCUAAAUCAUUCUUUAGAAAAGUCUUUUAGUUAGUCUUUUACCAGAUUAUAUUACCACAAGCUGUCCUUUUAACCUCUGGUCCUGCACUGCAGCAUCACACUGUGGAAGGAAAGCAGUCAUGAAUGGAUACCUGCAGCAACAUGCAGGAAUCAUGGUAGGGGACAACUACACUGUGCACUCUGGAGCAUAUAUAUACACCUUUAUUGUCCUAACCACUUUCAUACUAUGCACAAACCAAAAUGACUUGAAAUUAAUCAAAUUCUGCAUCUUGAGAGAUCCAACAGUAACUGAAAUGACAAAAUUCAGGUGAUCCAAUAAGCUUGAGAAGCAUAUGACAGUAUACACUACAAGACAAACUUUAAACUACAGGCUAAAUGAUUAUGCAUGAUUCAUAGCGUUCUGGAAGAAAACAAACAAACAAACAAACAAAAAACCUCAGCAUCCUGAACAACUCAAGGAAGUACAUUAGAAACUUUCUAUUUCUCCAUCUCCACUCCACUGGAACAAAGUAUGCUGAAUCGGGCAAGGAUUUGGACAGAAAUAUUACUAAAUUUAAAUGUUUUCUAGAGAAUAGGUGGAGUAGUUUUCUUUUAAUAUAUUAAUUUUUUUUUUAAUAAAACAUUUUAUUUUAAAAUGAUUAAGAGAAAAUGAGAAAAUAGCUUUCCAUUUUGGGGGAAAAAAAUGGAUGAAAGGACAACUACAACUUUAGGAAUUUUUAAAAUACCAUCAGUAACAUCUUGGACUUCAAUACUACAAGCAAGAUAAAUGAGAGUAAACUAACUUUCACAAUAAGUGGUCUCCCAGUGAAAGAUGCCAAGUGAGAGGGAAUGUAAAGGAGGCAAUUUUGAACAAAUUAGAAUACUUUUUUUUCCAAAGAGAUACAAAUCUCAGGCUUCCUGUACUUGUUUGUAUCCUACUCUUUCACACCAAUCUUGUGCUUAAAUGUUGCUUCUAAACAUUAUAUUCAAAAUCUAAUAUGUUUUUAAAAUACUUCUAAUUUCUGACUAUUAUUGUAAACGUUUAUUAUUACAUUUUCAUCAGCAGGAUUUUUGUUAAACUAUAAUCUAUAAUCCUGUUAGUUUUGACUAUUUUCUGUGGCUGAAUUUAUAGGAAUAAGAAUGUUCAUAGUGACUCAAACUCUCAUUUUUCAUUAAGAUAAAGGAACAAGUUAUAGAAUAAAAAGUAAACAGUAACAACAAAAAAUUAAGCCAGGAAAAUAGAUUCUGAUAGCAAUGAAGUGACUCCAAUGAAAAAUUAUUAUUAAAAUAAACUUCAAAUCCUUGAUAUUUAGCUAUUCACAGCAUGUGUUUGAAAUUAACUAAGGAACAACAUAACCAAUGAUUUCCUUAAACAUAAGUGCUGCUAAAAUGAAAUCCAAUACAUAUUUCUUAUAGCAAUGUAAUAUCCCAUUAACUUAACAUUUCUGAGCUGAACAGAAAAAAGUCCGUUCAACUUCACUAAGGAAUUUAAAAUAGUGGGUUUUUUUUCCUCAUCUGUGGUUACAGUUUUGAAGUGUGUAAAUAAAACUUAUUCAAUUCAUAAUGAAACAAAUUACACAUAGUCUUAUAUGGUGACUCUCUACAUCAAGAAGAAAAUAGCGUAAAGAGCUGUUCUUGAAGAAUGGCCACAAGUAAGUCAAAAGCUUAUGGGUGAGAGUUAGAGAUGGAAGCAACGAAGAGAGCCAUGUGGUUGGGAUCUACUACAGGUUACCUGAUAAAGUGGAGCCGGUUGAUGAAAGCCUUCUUCCUCCAGCUACAGGAAGUAACACUAGCUCUCAUCCUGCUGGGGGACUUCCACCACCCUGACAUCUGCUGGAAAAGCCAUAUAGCUAGUGGUAGGUAACACAGGAGGCUCCUGGAAUGCAUCAAGAACAACUUCUAGAGCCUAGUGAUAGACAGCUCCCCCAGGGGGAUACAAUACUGGACCUGUUACUCACCAAUCCAAGUGAACUGACUGGUGACAUCAGGAUUGGAAGAUGCCUGCAGGCUGCGGUGACUAUGCACUCAUGGAGUUCACACUCUUGAGAGAUUUGUGAGAGAAAAAUUAAAACCAGGAUGCUCAAUCUCGGAAUGCUCUUCAGGAAGUUAUUUAACAAAAUCCUCUGGGAAUCUGUCCUCAAGGACAAAGGGAGAGGAACAGAGCUGGAAGAUCUUUAAGGAAGCUUUUCUUAGGGCACAAGAGCCCUCCAUCUCCAGGUGUAGGAAGUCAGGAAAGGAAGGCAAAAGUCUUGCACGGCUGAGUGAGACUAACUGGUCAAUCUGGAGAACAAGAAGAAAAUGGACCAGCAGUGGAAGAAGAGACGGGAUCACAAAAUGAUCCAAGGGAUGGAACAAGAACAGGCUGAGAGAGUUAGAGCUGUUUAGUCUAUUACAGAGAUGGCUCUGGGGAUAUGUGACAGGGGCCUUUCAGCAUCUAGAAGAUGACUAUAAGAAAGAAGGGGGCAGACUCUUUAGCAGAAUCUGUUGUGAUAGGACAAGGGGAAAUGGUUGCAAACUAGAGAGAAUAUAACAGGGAAGUUUUUUGUGAUAAGGAUACUGAAGCACUAGAACAGGUUGACCAAAGAGGUGGUGGAAGCCCUGACCCCAGAGGCAUUCAAGGAAAGGCUGGAUGGGACCCUGAGGAACCUGAUCUAGCUGUAGAUGGUCCUGUUCACUGCAGGGGAGUUGGACUAGAUGACCUUUAAAGGGUCCCUUCUGUAACACAAUGGUAAGCACAACAGUGACAGAGAGCACCAAGAUUCCAGGCCACAGCAAGUUAGGAUUCACUCAAACACAACAAUGAGCACAAAAAAUAAGGGAAAGACACUGCUUACCUUCAGAAGGCCUCAGAUAUAUAGCAAUCCCCAAAAGCCUUACCUUCAAUGCCAACCCUUAAAUGAGAUCUGGGAAGAGGUGGAUCCUGGCUCCACCCAUUCCGGUCACUCAGGGGGCCUGCAUGUAUCUGAACUGCCCUGGGUUGGCCCUGCCUUCCUCCAGGUGCUCAGUCACUCUUUCAAGCCAUGACUGAGCAUUUUCACUACACCUACACCUUCCAGCACAAAUGAUUGUACGACUGUGAUUUUAUGAUACACUGAUAACUACUACUAUAAUUGAUCGGCAAUCUCUGAGAAAUACCUACACCCAAUGAAAUCCACAAGCAAAAUAAUAGAGGUGUACUUUUGUUCAAAUUCUUUUGUUUUUUUCCUCUGUUUCCUAAUGGUUAUUCUUAAAGGGAUUUGUGGCAGACUAAUCUAUUUCUCUGAUUUUUAAAUAAACCUACCACAUGAAAUGCUUUGUCCUCUUUUUGAUGCAGAAGGCACAGUUGUGUGGUUCUUUAAAUUCUUUUGCAGUAAUAAGCAUUUUGACAGAGACCAGAUGACUAAGCAAACCAUUCUCUGUCAUUUUUAUGGAUCAUAUGAUAGAAAGUGUGUCGUGUUUAUUUUUUGUCUUUUCUCUUUCUCAGCUACUUAUUGGAAUAUUCAUUACUGUUUCUCAGUUACUGUAUCAAUUAAUAGGAAGAACUGUUGAGAGUCUAUGUAUGUCAAAGACUGACCACAGUCUAACUUGGACUGCAGGAUAUCCUAGUCAUACCACUUACAAGAGAACCGGGUACAUUUUUCUUCUUAAAUAGCAGAAAUUUAUAUGAAUAUGACUUAUGUGAAAAUGAGAUUUUACUAUGGCUAUUUAGUUUCAUGUGUUUUGAAAUAAAUUGACAGUGCUAUAGAAACCAAAAGCAAUGGAAAUUUCUGUGGAAAAACAAAACAAAACAAAACAAAAAAACUGUUGUGUAUUCCCACUUCUGUAGACAGUGUAAAGAAGUGAGAAGGCAUGGCUGUAUUUGUGCUUCCACAUACAGCUGCCACAGGCUAACAAAUAUCCAGUGAGAAGUGUAUGUUGAAAGAAAUGUACGUGUGCUAAUAUUUAAUCUCAGAAUGGCAUUGCAUUUUUCUUUUUUCUAUUGAUGUUUAUUUUACUCAGUCUCACUAGAGAGUUCUGUUACUGUUUUUAUGUUACAGUUCUUGUGCUUUAGGAAAAAGAAUCUAAAGCCAAGGGGGCUAAUGUUCUUCUAUUUUAGAGCUUUUCUUUUCCUGAAUGCAUGCAUGUAGCUACAAGUAGCAAGAGUGUUUAUUGCAGUUGACUGUGUUUCUAAAAAGCAGAUGCCAAGGGUGCUUUGAACCCUGCUUCUCACUGUUUUCAGACCACAGAACACCGUGCAAGUUAUGAAAUCUGUCAAGGAGCAAUUUCCCUUCUCAGCUUCAUAAUUCCUUUGUUGUGCUUAUGCUGAGUGACAACAUCAAGCUAAAACAGUACAGAUUAACAAGGACAUGUAACUUAAAUAAACUCAGAGUCGUGGAUAGGUUCAGUUGUGUGGUUAUCUUCAACCUAUGGUCUUUUUCAUCUGUUGUUCUCUAGUGUAGAUGUAACGUGCUCCUGGAAAUAAUCUUUAAACUGGCAACCAAACCUUGAGAAUCUGACCAUCACUGCACACACACACACAAAAAAAAAAAAAAAAAAAAAAAAAAAAAAAAAAAAAUCAGUCCUUAUAUUUUCUUUAUUAUGAAUAAUAAGGACUCUCAUGAACCAAGCUUGGUCCUUGAAUGUGUGUUUUUCUCCCGUGAAAAACACUGUAGCAGAGAGAAGGUAGCAAGACAACAAAAUGGUGAAAAUCACACCUAUAUGGCAAUUUUAUUCCUUUAGUCAUUAAUACUGCAGAACAAGACUGAGAACCAUUAGGCUGUUUCAUCAAGUUCUCACCAUGAGGCUCAACAGAUCUCUUCUGACCAGAAGGAGAAAUGCCACAAGGAAAAUUCACAUGUAGGGUGGUGUAUGAUAAAUUCUGUCAAGGGUCUUACUUUGUUUGAUCAUGUAAUUUAUGUCUAUACAUUAAGAUACCUCAUGACCAAAUGACACUGACAGGCUCAUGACUGUGCUGCGUACACGUUGUCUCCCAUUGCUCUGCAGCAGAUGAACCCAAGGAAGCCCAAGCCCAGGAAGAAGCUGGAAACCCCAAAACAGAACUGAGAAGCAAGCUAAUAACUGUGCAACAGAGGCAAACAGGCAUCUGUCUCUUUAACUGGAUCCUGACCUUCUUUGUUUAGCAAUGCAAACAUAUAAUAAUGGCUUGAACAUGGGGUUGCAGGCCACAUUAGGAUUUGGAAACUAGCUGGCAGCACCUGAUCAAACACAGCCUCAAACCCUGCUUUGGUUUUGCGAAAUCUCCCACCUAAUUAUUUUUAUUUGAGCCUACUCUAGCUCCUGUAGCUUAUACAUGAAAGUCACUUCAUUUAUCUCCCUGUUCAUAGAGAAAAAGAGGAAGCCAAAGAGAUAAUUGUGACUCAGAUAAUUCUGCUGGAGUGGCACAUUUAUAUUUUUUAUUUAAUUUUCAGUAUUACAAUUAAAGUCAUAGCUUCUAAGUAAAUCUGAUAUACUGGUCUUUUCUAACAUAUUUAUUAGCUGACUUACACAUUCCAGUAUCAGUCCCGGGAAAGUACAGAUUUUUUGACUUCUCAGAUUCUGUAUGAACCUAAAGCUUGUGAGAGAACAAAAGGGGAAAACUUUACCACUCUUAUCAGAUGGUAGACUGUCCAUUUGGCAUUCUGCCUGGAAACUUGCAAACUCAAUUAAAUGCACAUAUGGUCCAUAGCAGGCAGAAUCAUUUUUUGCCAACACACGUUCCUCUUAUGGCACUUCCAAACUGUACCCAUGCUAGAUAGCUUUUUCCACAUAGGUGAUUUUUUUCCACUUCUCCAGCAGCAGCAACUCAGCAUAUUGUAUUUUCUGCCCUGGAAGAAUACAGGGAAGAAUGCCAAGAUGAACAUCAGUUUGAACUCCAUGGGGGUGAUUUUGCUAUUGAGGAGCUUUUGUUGAGGAAGACAGGUAUGGAGAUACCUAGAUUUAAUGAGCAGUGCUGGUAGAAUUAAUAAAUCUUUUCAAUACUCCCUGAAGCAGCUGCUCUCUUUUGAAAUAAUGAGCAUAUGGUUUCAUUAUAUUUCAUUGAUUUGAUCCCCUUCAGCUAAAGAAAUAUUUCAGUGGAAUGCAAACAACUUACAGAAUUUCUGCAUAUUUCUCACCCUUUUUAUUUUUCCUGGCUAAACAGAAAGCUGACUAGCAUGUAAAAGGAAGAGCUAGAGGCAGCAUUCCUAUUCCUUAAUAGGGGUUGUAUGAGGGGCAAUGGGGCCUUUGACAAUAAUGAGGACCUGUGUGUGCCUUGAAGCUACAGUGCUUGGGGGUUCCCUUUAAGGUUUGAUUGUGUGGAAGAAACUGUGUGAAAGAAACAAGAUCAAGCUGAACUAACCCUACUUAUAAGACAUAGUCUUUACAUAAAAAUUUUCUCUAGAGGUAGGGGAUAGGCAGAGAGGAAGGUGAGAAUGCAUCAAAAUGGCUUGUUAAACCAACAUGUUCAAACUUCGUAGAAAGAAAAUGUUGCAGGAUAGUUUUAAAUUGUCUUUGAGAACAAACCUUUCAAAGCAAAGAUUUUUUUAUUUUCUCAGUUGCUGAAGACAUCUCCCCACCCAGCUGUUUUGAGGAGAAACUGCAUUCAGUAUUUUAUCCACUCUACAUCUUGCUACUGACAUUAGAAAACCAAAUUCUGAAGUGAAAGCAAAGUGAAAGUCACCUGCAGUUUUUUUUGUUUUUUUUUUUUUUUUUUUUUUUUCUGUAAGAUCUUUCUGGAAUAUGAUUUCUGACAGCUGCAAGCUCACAAGCUAUCUUUUUGCAGGUGCCAAAAUAAAUAAGGAAAACUUGCAUAUGUUUUCAUUAGGAAACUGGGUAGAUUUGGCAGUUCUGGGCUCUCUAGGAAGGGAACCAUUCCUGGAAAAGCUGGUGACUGAUAGAGAGGUGCUAUACUGCGCUCUCUCAACAGUGGGGAAGAUGUAGAGCCUGCUUCUGGUUACUUGGCUCUAUUCCUUAUUCAUUGCCACUACAGCAUUCUUCAGUAUACAUACAUUUGUACAUUCCUCCUUUAUAUGCACAUUUGUGUAUGAAUAUAUGUUGGUUUAAAUAUACAUAUGUACAGUAUAUUCAGUAGACUUUAUAGUUUUUGUGAACAGCAAAUCACAUAAUGACAGUUCACAAGAUUGUAUUUCUUCUCCAGAAAAAAAACACUGCAAUAUUACAGAAAGUACUUCAGUUUUUUUUUUCUAUAUUUUUCCUUUAAUAAAAUCUGAUUAUUUACAGACAUUUUCCCAUUGUGGUAUUUCAGAAGGAAAACUAUCCAGUUGUUUUGUAAUAUUGUAUUAACUUAAUUUUUCAUCUGAUGCAAAGGCCUAGUAUUGCAUCAUGUAAUUAUCGAUGUUUUGAAGCCAAAACAAAAGAAUUCACUUCCAGAUCUUCACCACAUUUGAACCAAUAAGCUCUAAUUGUCCAUUCAGGCCUAUGAGUUGCAAUGUCAUGAGGAAAUUCAUGGUUGCAUUUUUCAUACACAAGAACUCAGUGGUUUUUAAAAGAGCUUAUAUACUUCAAUUUCAUAAAGUGGUCUGUGUUUUGAUGGAUUGCAAAUUGAUACUAAGAUCAGUCAAAGUAAACAUUUUCUCUCUUACAGCAAGCAAAAUAAACUUGAUUAUCAGAAAAACUGUAACAAUUUCAUCAAAAAUGUUCAGCAAUUAGACAGUUUUAAGGGCAGGGGACAUUAAUUUGUUAAAUGUUCAUCUGCUAUGAUUUCAAAUGAAAUUGCAGAUGAAUGUUUAACAAAUUAAUCUCCCCCGCCCUUAAAAUUUACCAGAAAUAAGACAUUUUCUAUUGAACCAAAUCACAAAACUUGUUUCAGCCUCUGUGGUCCUGCAGAGAUUGCAGUACAGUGAUGCCUGCUCUUUAUUUCUGGCAUGGAAGUAGCAGGGAGACAGAUGAAUGCAGAGCCUCUCUUUUUGUGGCAUAAUCCAUACAUUAUUAAUUUUUGUUGUUGUUGCUAUAAAGCUGUGAAAGAGAUGCUGUUCUGAAUUGAGCAUCACCAUUCCGAUAUGAACAGACGCAGUCCCUGAGCUACCCAGUCAACUAAUUAAUGCUGCAUAAUUUAAUAAAGGAUGGUAAUUAGUCAGUUUUCCCCAUCUUGUUCCCCUCCCUGCUAAUGAUAACAUUAUCGAGCUGAGGCAGGGUGUAGUGAGUGUGUGUGUGUGUAUAGGGAGAUAACUUACAAUGAAGGAGGAUGAGUAAGCAGAUGAAGCUGGAAAUGGUUCAGUCUAUGAUUAUAAAAUCUUCUGAUUUUGUGUUUAGAGAGAACCUCCAGAAUGUCGAAGUGAGAGCAGAAUAAAAAGCAACAAUGAAACUUGUUAAAAGAUGUAGAUGUAUUGUAGAGAAGAAAUAAUUUAAUAUUCCAUGCAACUGUUUAUUAAAUAUUACUUUACUUUUUUUUAUUGUUAUUAUUAUUCUAGUCUUAGUAAGGAGGCAAAGGUUGAAUAUACUUGCAGAAAGAAAGCGAAAGACUCCUCCACAGACUCUCUCUCCCUUGCUACCUCUGAAUGGAUGAUGAAGGAUGUCAAUUACAACAGUAUCAAACUCACUACUAAAGAUAGUCUCUUUAGGCAUUCUUCAGUAGUCCUGCCAUAUGGCACAAGCUUCUCUUCAUUGAAAGGAAGAUGCCAAAAGGUGU